GCGGGCGUCGUAUAACGGCAGUACACGAUCCUUCCAAGAUCGAUGCGCGGGUUCAAUUCCCGCCGCCCGCACCA
rnacentral:tRNA from 2 species